AUAACGGUCCUAAGGUAGCGAAAUUCCUUGUCGGGUAAGUUCCGACCUGCACGAAAGGCGCAACGACUUGGGCGCUGUCUCGACCAUGGACCCGGUGAAAUUGCACUGGUCGUGAAGAUGCGACUUACCCGCGGAAGGACGGAAAGACCCCGUGAACCUUCACUGCAGCUUGGCAUUGGCCGCUGGUCCCGCGUGUAGAGGAUAGGCAGGAGGCAUCGAUCCGGAGGCGCCAGCCCCCGGGGAGCCGCCCUUGGAAUACUGCCCUCGCGCGACCGGCGUCCUAACCCGAGGCCGUCAACCGGCUCGGGGACCGUGCCAGGCGGGCAGUUUGACUGGGGCGGUCGCCUCCUAAAGGGUAACGGAGGCGCGCGAAGGUCCGCUCGGGACGGUCGGCAACCGUCCUUUUGAAUGCAAGAGUACAAGCGGGCUUGACUGCGAGGCCCACAAGCCGAGCAGGUGCGAAAGCAGGCUCUAGUGAUCCGGCGGCCCCGAGUGGGUGGGCCGUCGCUCAACGGAUAAAAGGUACUCCGGGGAUAACAGGCUGAUCUUGCCCAAGAGUCCACAUCGACGGCAAGGUUUGGCACCUCGAUGUCGGCUCAUCGCAUCCUGGGGCUGGAGCAGGUCCCAAGGGUACGGCUGUUCGCCGUUUAAAGCGGUACGCGAGCUGGGUUCAGAACGUCGUGAGACAGUUCGGUCCCUAUCCUCCGUGGGCGCAGGAGAAUCGAUGGAGGCUGCCCCCAGUACGAGAGGACCGGGGUGGACGCACCUCCGGUGAACCGGUUGUCGACCAACGGCACGGCCGGGUAGCCGCGUGCGGCGCGGAUAACCGCUGAAGGCAUCUAAGCGGGAAGCCGUUCCAGGGAUUAGUUCUCCUUCCGGUAAGGGCCCAGGUAGACUACCUGGUCGAUAGACGGCAGGUGCAAGGCUGGCGACAGCCUCAGCCGAGCCGCACUAAUCGCCCGAGCUCUUCCGGAA
rnacentral:rRNA from 2 species